AACGAACGCUGGCGGCAUGCCUAACACAUGCAAGUCGAAAGAGACCUUCGGGUCUAGUGGCGCACGGGUGCGUAACGCGUGGGAACCUGCCCUUAGGUUCGGAAUAACUCCCCGAAAGGGGUGCUAAUACCGGAUAAUGUCUUCGGACCAAAGAUUUAUCGCCUUUGGAUGGGCCCGCGUUGGAUUAGCUAGUUGGUAGGGUAAAAGCCUACCAAGGCGACGAUCCAUAGCUGGUCUGAGAGGAUGAUCAGCCACACUGGGACUGAGACACGGCCCAGACUCCUACGGGAGGCAGCAGUGGGGAAUAUUGGACAAUGGGCGAAAGCCUGAUCCAGCAAUGCCGCGUGAGUGAUGAAGGCCUUAGGGUUGUAAAGCUCUUUUACCCGGGAUGAUAAUGACAGUACCGGGAGAAUAAGCGCCGGCUAACUCCGUG
rnacentral:rRNA from 1 species